AAUGAAGUGCAACAUCGUGCUAAGUCAUUCUGCACAAUUAUCUUCCAGAUGAAGAAAACCUACAUAUGAACUUUGUAUCAUAUGGAUUGCAGUUGACUGUGUGAAAGACUCAGAGACAGGGCCCAAGUUCGUGAAGCCGCUGUAUUGGAAUGAUGAAGACUUGCCAAAGAUACAAAUCAUCCCUGUAUGCACCUCAACCUCUUCUUCCAUCAAGUUAGCAUGACAUGAGCUAAGCCAAACUGAUACACUUUGCAAGAGUAACAGAGCAAACUUCGUCAUCUGCCUUCAUGUAUUUGAGCACUCUGUCAAAACACUGGAGCGGUAGAAGAAGAAGGGGAAAGACCUGCACAGUCGCGCCCUUCUCGCUGUAG